GGAGCAAUUCAUAUAGGACAGAAAUCACGUGCUCACAGCUGCCCCUCUUUGUUCGGAACACGAAGAGUUUUCGUGCAAAGAUAAGUGAGCGGACACGAGCGAUUUUUUCCACUCGAAUACUCUGUGAGAAGCAUUUUGAAAAUCUUGACCGCACCUGCUUCAGAGUUUGCCUACAUAUCCUCGGCUAAAUAGGAACCAUGUCAGUAUAGUUCAGGUGUGUUUGGUAGCUGGGACUACCGAAGCUGUGAUCUCACUGUUGUUGUUGUUGCUGCUACUGCUUACUAGACCUCCUUAUUACACCUUUGUGAAAAAAAAUAAAGAAGCUAGAGUAAGCUAUGAACUAUGGACUGCAAAAGAACCUAUCUACGUCUUUAAUCCUUCUCUUGAUCCUUGUUGCGUUGUUGCCUUGUAUUUUUUCCUGUAAACUCCUCAUUGC
rnacentral:lncRNA from 1 species